rnacentral:lncRNA from 1 species
GCUCCAUAGACUGAAGAACAGUUCAGUGUGAUUGUGGGGACUGUUGUACUGUGCCAUUGUGAGGGCUUUUUUUUCCAAGGCCAAAAGUAGGAAGAGGAGGUACGCUAGCCUAGGCAUAUGGGAUACUGGAUCCCCUCUGCUAUGAAUGCAAUAUUCAGAAAGGAUCUUGCAUAAUUCAUUGAUUCUGUUAUUUCGGAGAGUGAUCCUCAAAGUGUAAUGAGAGGACCCCCUUAAUUUGACAGGCCUGUGAAGACAGAAACCAACUGCUUUCGUUUGGGACUCUCUCUCUCUCUUUGUGGGACGCGUUGAUAUCAGGAUGAUAAUGAGGACUCUCUCUUUUCAAAAUAAUGGAUUCGUUAAUAACCAGUCUGGGGGUCUGGGAGGACUAGUUCAAAGGCCUUUAUGAUCUAAGAGCGAGCGUGGCAGCUUGUUGCCGAAGGUUUCCAAACCAGAGAUACUACUGAUUUAUUUAGGUCGCCAUGGAUAAAACACCAGGUUGUUGUUGCUGGACAAAAUCAUUUCAGCAGUUUGGGAAAUACAGCAGAGAGAGAAAACAACACGAACUACUUUGAAAGACCUGAGCCCUAGGACCAUGCCUCAGGACUACCUGGCUUGAUGACUCCUUGCUGUCCCCAGUUCACCUGGCUGUGCUGCUGCUCCAGUUCCAACUGUUCUGCCUGCAGCUAUGGAACCCUGACCUGUUCACCGGACAUGCUACCUGUCCCAGACCUGUUGUCCCAGACCUGCUGGAACCCUGACCUAUUCGCCGGACAUGCUACCUGUCCCAGACCUGCUGUUUUCAACUCUCUAGAGACAGCAGGAGCGGUAGAGAUACUCUCAAAGAUCUCCUAUGAAAAAGCCAACUGACACUUACUCUUGUGUUACUGACUUGUUGCACCCUCGACAACUACUCUGAUUAUUAUUAUUUGACAAUGCUGGUCCUUUAUGAACAUUUGAACAUCUAGGCCAUGUGCUGUUAUAAUCUCCACCCGGCACAGCCAGAAGAGGACUGGCCACCCCUCAUAGCCUGGUUCCUCUCUAGGUUUCUUCCUAGGUUUUGGCCUUUCUAGGGAGUUUUUCCUAGCCACCGUGCUUCUACACCUGCAUUGCUUGCUGUUUGGGGUUUUAGGCUGGGUUUCUGUACAGCACUUUGUGAUAUCAGCUGAUGUAAGAAGGGCUAUAUAAAUAUAUUUGAUUUGAUUUGAUUUGAUUAAGAGAUGUAACCUGGGGUAAAGGGUGCCAUUAAGAGAUGUAACCUGGGGUAAAGGGUGCCAUUAAGAGAUGUAACCUGUAGUAAAGGGUGUCAUUAAGAGAUGUAACCUGGGGUAAAUGAUGCCAUUAAGAGAUGUAACCUGGGGUAAAUGAUGCCAUUAAGAGAUGUAACCUGUGGUAAAGGGUGCCAUUAAGAGAUGUAACCUGUAGUAAAGGGUGUCAUUAUGAGAUGUCACCUGGUAAAGGGUGUCAUUAAGAGAUGUAACCUGUAGUAAAGGGUGUCAUUAAGAGAUGUAACCUGGGUAAAGGGUGUCAUUAAGAGAUGUAACCUGUAGUAAAGGGUGCCAUUAAGAGAUGUAACCUGGGUAAAGGGUGC